rnacentral:tRNA from 1 species
CACCGCGUAGUGUAGUGGUUAUAGCACGCUCGACUGACAAUCGAGAGGGUCCGGGUUCGAGUCCCGUAGGCGGCGA